rnacentral:rRNA from 1 species
GGCUGCGCAUGCUUAACAUGCAGUCGAACGGUAACAGGGAGCUUGCUCCGCUGACGAGUGGCGAACGGGUGAGUAAUACAUCGGAACGUGCCCAGUAAUGGGGGAUAGCUCGGCGAAAGCCGGAUUAAUACCGCAUACGCCCUGAGGGGGAAAGUGGGGGACCGCAAGGCCUCACGUUAUUGGAGCGGCCGAUGGCUGAUUAGCUAGUUGGUAGGGUAAAGGCCUACCAAGGCGACGAUCAGUAGCUGGUCUGAGAGGACGAUCAGCCACACUGGGACUGAGACACGGCCCAGACUCCUACGGGAGGCAGCAGUGGGGAAUUUUGGACAAUGGGGGAAACCCUGAUCCAGCAAUGCCGCGUGUGCGAAGAAGGCCUUCGGGUUGUAAAGCACUUUUGUCAGGGAAGAAAUCCUUUGGGCUAAUACCCUAGGGGGAUGACGGUACCUGAAGAAUAAGCACCGGCUAACUACGUGCCAGCAGCCGCGGUAAUACGUAGGGUGCAAGCGUUAAUCGGAAUUACUGGGCGUAAAGCGUGCGCAGGCGGUUGUGUAAGACAGGUGUGAAAUCCCCGGGCUUAACCUGGGAAUUGCAUUUGUGACUGCACGACUAG